GUGACAUCAUUCAACACAAUAUCAGUUUAAAGGGCUUUAGGACAGAGUGUUUGGUUAUUAGAAAAAUGGCUGAGUUCUGCUUUUCUCCACGAAAGACACAUAUACGCUAGUUUGUCUAACUGUUGAUCCUAAUCCUCUCUCACUUUACAAAGGAAAAGGAAUGCAGCUAGCUUCAGAAAAUAGGGUGAAGAACAUAUUUCUGGCAGCCCAGCUGUUCAUAUUUUGGUAUGAAGGAACAAAUAUGAGAACAUUAGCUAACCCUGAAAAGCCCUGUAAAUAAAUUCAACUUGCUUUAUUUUAUCCUACAAUAACCAAUACUAUAGUCAUAGAUGUUUUUUAUUUGACCCAACUCAGUCACACAGCAUUUUGACUUCACAUUUCCGGCAUACACAGAAUCAUCCAGAAGAGUUACUGAACUAUCAGAUAUUAAUUCCUUGCUAUUCACAGGACCCAGGACUACACAUUUUCAUAUUUAAUAUAUGACCCUCCCAAAAUGCUUGUUUAGGAACCUGCUUAACAUCACCUUAGUAGGUAAGGGGUAGAAGAUUCAAAACCACGUCUUGUGAAGACAAAGGCAGUGCUCUUCCUCUCAACUGGGAGGUUCGAACAAGUCUGAGGGCUUGUCACAUUUUCAGACGUCACAAAUGAACCUCCAUAAAGCCAUACUUUUGUUACGAACUGAAUCGCAUGUCCCUGGAAUUUAUAUGUUGAAGCCCUACUCCCCGCAUUGCAGCUGUAUUUGGAGGGAGGGCCUUUGGAGAGUUAAUUAAGAUUAAACGAGGUCAAAAGAGUAGAGCCCUAGUAAGAUAGGGCUGUGGCCUUAUAAGCAGAAGAAGAGAGACCAGGGACCUCCCUCCCUACUCCCCUCCUCUCCCUUCUCCUCCACUCCCACACAGGAAGACGCCAUGUGAGAACACAAUGAGAAGGUGCUUUGGCCAGGUGUAGUGGCUCCUGCCUGUAAUCCCAGAACUUUGGGAGGCCAAGGUGGGUGGCUCACUUGAGGUCAGGGGUUCGACACAAGCCUGGGCAAUGUGAUAAAACCUCAUCUCUACUAAAAAUACAAAAGUGAGCCGAGUGUGGUGGCGCACGCCUAUAAUCCCAGCUCCUUGGGAGGCUGAGGCAGGAGAAUCACUUGAACCCGGGAGGUGGAGGUUGCAGUGAGCCGAGAUCACACCACUGCACUCCAGUCUGGGUGACAGAGAGAGACUUCAUCCCCAAAAAA
rnacentral:lncRNA from 1 species